rnacentral:rRNA from 1 species
AGUGAACGCUGGCGGUAGGCCUAACACAUGCAAGUCGAACGGCAGCACAGUAAGAGCUUGCUCUUACGGGUGGCGAGUGGCGGACGGGUGAGGAAUACAUCGGAAUCUACUUUUUCGUGGGGGAUAACGUAGGGAAACUUACGCUAAUACCGCAUACGACCUACGGGUGAAAGCAGGGGAUCUUCGGACCUUGCGCGAUUGAAUGAGCCGAUGUCGGAUUAGCUAGUUGGCGGGGUAAAGGCCCACCAAGGCGACGAUCCGUAGCUGGUCUGAGAGGAUGAUCGGCCACACUGGAACUGAGACACGGUCCAGACUCCUACGGGAGGCAGCAGUGGGGAAUAUUGGACAAUGGGCGCAAGCCUGAUCCAGCCAUACCGCGUGGGUGAAGAAGGCCUUCGGGUUGUAAAGCCCUUUUGUUGGGAAAGAAAAGCAGCAGGUUAAGACCCCGCUGUUCUGACGGUACCCAAAGAAUAAGCACCGGCUAACUUCGU